rnacentral:rRNA from 1 species
GAUGAACGCUAGCGGGAGGCUUAACACAUGCAAGUCGAGCGGUAGGGCAGCAAUGCCUGAGAGCGGCGCACGGGUGCGUAACGCGUAUGCAACCUGCCUUAUACAGGGGAAUAGCCCAUGGAAACGUGGAUUAAUGUCCCAUAGGAUUACGGAUUCGCAUGGAUUUGUGAUUAAAACUGAGGUGGUAUAAGAUGGGCAUGCGUCUGAUUAGGUAGUUGGUAGGGUAAUGGCCUACCAAGCCGACGAUCAGUAGGGGUUCUGAGAGGAUUACCCCCCACACUGGUACUGAGACACGGACCAGACUCCUACGGGAGGCAGCAGUGAGGAAUAUUGGUCAAUGGCCGGAAGGCUGAACCAGCCAUCCCGCGUGCAGGAUGACGGCCCUAUGGGUUGUAAACUGCUUUUGUACCUGAAGAAACCUGUUUACGAGUAGACAGUUGCCGGUAAGGUAUGAAUAAGCAUCGGCUAACUCCGUGCCAGCCGCCGCCGUAAAAC